AGUAAAAUUGGGGGUUGGUGCCGAAUUGUUUUCCCAGAAAUUGGUCCCGGAUAUUUACACACUCUCCAGUCGACCCUGAAAUUGGCAAAUUUAGGCACUCUCCAAGUUGUCUCCAUAAACUUUCAAGAAGUUGUCUCAAAAAAUGUUUCACAUACAACAUCUGGAGGUUGAGUGGAUUCAUCAGAUUCCACCUCCCUUUCAUCUCUCAAAGUCCAGCAUGCAGCUUCUGAUUGCAAGUGUUGUCCGAUAGGAGGCAACACUCGUGGCCCUGGUCCAGCUCAUCCUCUGCCUCUCCCUCUUUUUGACUGAACCAUUUCAAUAACAGACCAAUCUCCAAACACUUUCCCCUAGCAAUAAAGUUAAACUCAGAUUUCCCUACUACUGCUUAUGGAGUGCAAAAGGAUUGUGUAAGAAAGAGACCUACCAAGUUGUUCUCUCCUGACAAAAGAAGCUUGACUUCAGAGUGCCUUUGCUAAGUAUAACAGAGUGGGAAAAACCCAAAGAAAACUAGCUUUAGUUAAGUCCCAGCAAAAUGUUAAAAAGCCCUGUGUUUCUAGCUCUAUUGAACUACGUACAACUUUUGUCUCUCAAAACCCAUGCCUUUGGGGUGAUGGUAGGAAAAUGCAAAUCAGAUUUGACUCCCUGAAACUCAGGCUAUCAGCAUCAACCAUGAGCUGUACCCGUGCCAACUUUUUUAUUUGGAUGUUAGAGGUUUACUAUAUUGGUG